CAGGCUCCAUGCUUAGCUCAGAGCUUGACAUGGUGCUCAGUCCCCUGACCCUGAUCAUGACCUGAGCUAAAACCAAGAGUAGGAUGCUUAACCAACUG